rnacentral:rRNA from 1 species
UUUGAGAAUUUGAUCCUGGUUCAGGAUGAACGCUGGAAGUGUACCUUAAGCAUGCAAGUCGAGCGGUGAAUCUCGAGCUCGCAAGAGUUCGAGAGGAGCAGCGGCAGACGGGUGAGAAAAGACAGGAAUCUACCCUUUUGUGGGGAAUAGCCCGCCGAAAGGCGGGGUAAUACCGCAUAAGUUCGUAAGAAGAAAGGCCUUAACCGGCCGCAGAUGGAUGAGCCUGUUCGCUAUCAGCUAGUUGGUAGGGUAAAAGCCUACCAAGGCUACGACGGCUAGGGGGUGUGAGAGCAUGACCCCCCACAAGGUAACUGAGAUACGGUGCCUACACCUACGGGUGGCAGCAACUGGGAAUUUUGCACAAUGGACGAAAGUCUGAUGCAGUGACACUUCGUGUGGGAUGAAGGCCCUCGGGUCGUAAACCACUGUGAUAGGAGAAAACUUAAGAUGGUACCCUAUUAGAAAGCACCUGCUAACCACGUGCCAGAAGCCUCGGUAAUACGUGGGGUGCAAGCGUUAUCCGGAUUUAUUGGGCGUAAAGAGUAUCGUAGGCGGUUUGUUAAGUAUCGGGUUAAAGCCUGGGGCUCAACUCCAGAGAUGCUCGAUAAACUGGCAGACUAGCGGUUGUUCGGAGAUGUCGGAAUUCUUGGUGGAGGAGUGAAAUCCGUUGAUAUCAAGAAGAACACCAAAAGCGAAGGCAGGCAUCUAGGAUAUACCGGACGCUGAUGAACGAAAGCUAGGGGAGCGAAAGGGAUUAGAGACCCCUGUAGUCCUAGCCGUAAACUAUGAACACUAGCUAUUUCCCGUAAGGGGAGUGGCGUAAGCUAACGCGUUAAGUGUUCCGCCUGGGGAGUGGAAACGCACAAUCAGCGUGCCAUGUGGUUUAAUUGGAUACGAAACCUUGAACCUUACCUGGGUUUGACAUGUACCUGCAAAUCUCUGGAAACAGAGACGCCUUCGAGGGUGGUACACAGCUGCUGCAUGGUUGUCGUCAGUUCGUGUCGUGAGGCGUCUAUUUAAGUAUAGUAACGAACGCAACCCCUGUGCUAUGUUAAAUAUCCAUAGCAGACUGCCACGGUUUUUUCCGUGGAGGAAGGAGGGGAUGACGUCAAAUCAUCAUGGCGCUUAUAUCCAGGGCUACACACAUGGCGUAAUGGAUGAGACAACGGGGUGCGAAGCCGCGAGGCGGAGCAAAUCCUAAUAAACUCAUCCUCAGUUCGGAUCGCAGGCUGCAAUUCGCCUGCGUGAAGGGGAGUUGAUAGUAAUCGCAGAUCAGCAACACUGCGGUGAAUACGUUCUCGUUUCUUGUACACACUGCCCGUCAAGUCAACAAAGUCAGUAGUGCCCGAAGUAGGUACCCAUAACCGCAAGGAUUGGGCCUCCUAAGGUAAGACUGGCGAUGGGGGCUAAGUCGUAACAAGGUAUCCGUACUGGAAGGUGCGGAUGGAUCACCUCCUU